rnacentral:misc_RNA from 1 species
AACAUCGCGCACCUGCGGGAACCUGCGGAGGGAUCAUUACCGAGUUUACAACUCCCAAACCCCUGUGAACAUACCUAUACGUUGCCUCGGCGGAUCAGCCCGCGCCCCGUAAAAAGGGACGGCCCGCCCGAGGACCCCUAAACUCUGUUUUUAGUGGAACUUCUGAGUAAAACAAACAAAUAAAUCAAAACUUUCAACAACGGAUCU